rnacentral:rRNA from 1 species
UACGGAGGGUGCGAGCGUUGUCCGGAAUCACUGGGCGUAAAGGGCGCGUAGGUGGCGACCCAAGUCAACGGUGAAAGCUCGGCGCUUAACGCCGAGUCGGCCGUCGAUACUGGGUGGCUCGAGCACUGUAGAGGCGGAUGGAAUUCCGGGUGUAGCGGUGGAAUGCGUAGAGAUCCGGAAGAACACCGGUGGCGAAGGCGGUCUGCUGGGCAGUUGCUGACACUGAGGCGCGACAGCGUGGGGAGCAAACAGG